CAAUGCUGUUUUUUUUUUUUUUUUUUUUUUUUUUCGAAGACACCUCCAUCAAAAGAAGCAAUAACAACAUAACAAU
rnacentral:ribozyme from 1 species